ACCUGUUUCUCCUUUUAAAUUUUCAAGGUCACAUGACUUAGGCUCUUGUAGCUAUUCCUAGGGAGUUCUUAUCAUUGGAAUCCUUGUUUUGACUGAAAAGAGGUCCUGACUUGGUCUCUAAGAAGGAUGGAAUGAAAUUUAAAAUUGGAUAUCUGUCAUACCCCUUUUUUUCAAAUUGUAACUGUUGACCAGCUUUGCAAGGGAAAGUUUUAUGUGUUUCUUUCUAUAAUUAGUGAAGCACAAUGGAACUUUAGAAAAGCCAAUUCUUGAAAGUAACCAUUUGUUAUCUUUUCUUCAUGUGUAGUAUUUAUUUCUCUCAUCUAAAGAUAUGUGUAUAUAGCUUUCUUUGUUCAUAAAUUAUAGUUUCUUACAAACAUUAAGGGAAUGGGAAAUCCCUAUCAUUUUGAUAGAGCUUACUGUCUAUGCGACCUUGUUUCAAAGCAUACAGGGAUAUUGAGUUAUAGCUGAUAUUUCCAUCCCAAACCUUUGAUUCGUUAUUGUGACGGAUUUAGGUUGCCACUUAGCCUACUACUAAGAGAUGUAGCCCACAGCAGUGGUUAUGUACUUAUACAGUAGGCUUUAACCUCUUUGUGUUUUGUUCAAGGGGAGUAACAAUGGAUGUUGGCAUGACGAAGUUUGAAACCACAACCAAAGUUGUUACCUUAAUGGAUGCUCCAGGCCAUAAGGAUUUCAUUCCAAACAUGAUCACAGGAGCAGCCCAGGCUGACGUGGCAGUCUUGGUCGUUGAUGCCAGCAG
rnacentral:lncRNA from 1 species